CAAAAUAGAGCUUGUUAUAAAGCAUUUUAUUUACAUUAAAAAGUUAGUUGUGAAAAUCUACUUAUUUUGA
rnacentral:tRNA from 1 species